rnacentral:rRNA from 1 species
AUUGAACGCUGGCGGCAUGCCUUACACAUGCAAGUCGAACGGUAACGGGCCUUCGGGUGCCGACGAGUGGCGAACGGGUGAGUAAUGUAUCGGAACGUACCUUUCAGUGGGGGAUAACGUAGCGAAAGUUACGCUAAUACCACAUAUUCUGUGCGCAGGAAAGCAGGGGAUCGCAAGACCUUGCGCUGAUUGAGCGGCCGAUAUCAGAUUAGCUAGUUGAUGAGGUAAGGGCUCACCAAGGCGACGAUCUGUAGCGGGUCUGAGAGGAUGAUCCGCCACACUGGAACUGAGACACGGUCCAGACUCCUACGGGAGGCAGCAGUGGGGAAUUUUGGACAAUGGGGGCAACCCUGAUCCAGCCAUGCCGCGUGAGUGAAGAAGGCCUUCGGGUUGUAAAGCUCUUUCGGCCGGGAAGAAAUCGUAUCAGCUAAUACCUGGUGCGGAUGACGGUACCGGCAUAAGAAGCACCGGCUAACUACGUGCCAGCAGCCGCCGCAGUAA